UUAUACCUCGCUGCUUGUUCAUCUAAAACCAUUUAUACGGCACUCUAAUUAUAUAAAUAAUCAGCUUAUGAACUAGAUAAACCCUCUUACUAAAUUUGUACGUAAAGAACUCCUCGAAUAACCCAAUUAAAAGUGGUUUUACGCUAAAUCAAAGUGACUAUGCGCCCUGACAAUUUUCGACCUGUUGCUGUUGUACGUGUAUCUCUGCGGUUGAUUUGAAGUUCAUACUCCAUGCACGUGGAUAUCUUGGAGUAACGGAGACCUGGGCCUUUUUUACGGCAGAUGAUGAUACUUGUGAAUCGCUUAGAGUUGUCCAACUUACCAACGUAUGGAACAUAUUUAAUGACAACGCAAUGAUCUGGCUUCUCCUCAGAUCUAAACUGUUGCGGGGCUGACAAAUUAAAUCCAUCAUUAUUUCCAAGGUGGUUGUAGCUGACUAUCGAUACAGGUUUUAUGCCAGCAGAAA
rnacentral:lncRNA from 1 species